rnacentral:rRNA from 1 species
GACGAACGCUGGCGGCGUGCUUAACACAUGCAAGUCGAACGAAAAGAGGGAAAGAGCUUGCUCUUUCCGGAAUUGAGUGGCAAACGGGUGAGUAACACGUAAACAACCUGCCUUCAGGAUGGGGACAACAGACGGAAACGACUGCUAAUACCGAAUAAGUUCCAAGGGCCGCAUGGCCCAUGGAAGAAAAGGUGGCCUCUACCUGUAAGCUAUCGCCUGAAGAGGGGUUUGCGUCUGAUUAGCUGGUUGGAGGGGUAACGGCCCACCAAGGCGACGAUCAGUCGCCGGUCUGAGAGGAUGAACGGCCACACUGGAACUGAGACACGGUCCAGACUCCUACGGGAGGCAGCAGUGGGGAAUCUUCCGCAAUGGGCGAAAGCCUGACGGAGCAACGCCGCGUGAGUGAUGACGGCCUUCGGGUUGUAAAACUCUGUGAUCCGGGACGAAAAGGCAGAGUGCGAAGAACAAACUGCAUUGACGGUACCGGAAAAGCAAGCCACGGCUAACUACGUG